ACUUAUAGCAAUUUGGUAAAUGAUACUUUUAUAAGUAAAAUUGAAAUAUUUAUCUUUUUCUCUCUACCUGAUCCCUCGAAUUUAGAAACUCUUAGUAAGUAAAUAUUGUUGUUUUCAUGGCAAUAUAGUUAUUUGCAUAAGUUCAAUAAGAAUCUGUUCUCCUUAUAACAGGACACAAUUGGAAACACUGGUUAUGUUACCAAGGUUGUAACUGGAACAUCAUAUUUGCGAUAUAACCCUACAGCUUUUGAGGAAUGAAGAUUUGACUUUAUGGAAUAAAGCCACGUGGAAAUAUUGGCCUGGUACCUUAUGUUCCAAGCAGCACUUACCAGGAUAAGUAAAGAAUGUCACUUAUCUGGCAGGUACAAGGAACCGCGAAAUAUUUUGGGGGAACCUCAGAAGAGAGGAAUUCACCCAAAUCUGUAGAAUCACUAAAAACUGAACCUGCCCUUUUUCCUGAAGCCUUACAAACUAAAGCUGAUGGACUUGAUACUAACUUAAGAGAUUACUUGAUGACAUCAUCAGAGACAUUUUAAACUGCAGAAGAUGCUUUGACGCUGACAUCUAAAAUUCUUCUUCACUGGCUGUCCUCUGAACUCAAAAACUGCUUUACAACUUGCUCCAACCAUUAACCUUGUUUUUCUUUUGUUUACAUAGAAAUGCUUCUAUUAAAUACUUGAUUGCUUGCUUCCAUAAUAUAGGCGUAACCUUGAGAGCCCA